rnacentral:misc_RNA from 1 species
UCUCCGUAGGUGAACCUGCGGAGGGAUCAUUACAGAGUUCAUGCCCUACCGGGUAGAUCUCCCACCCUAUGUUAUUAUUACUUUGUUGCUUUGGCGAGCCGUUAGGCUCCGGCCCGACUACCGGCCCCGGCUGGUAAGCGCCCGCCAGAGGACCCAAAACCCUGAAUAUUAGUGUCGUCUGAGUACCAUAUAAUAGUUAAAACUUUCAACAACGGAUCUCUUGGUUCUG